rnacentral:rRNA from 1 species
UACGGGGGGGGCAAGCGUUGUUCGGAUUUACUGGGCGUAAAGGGCGCGUAGGCGGCAUGACAAGUCACUUGUGAAAUCUCCGGGCUUAACCCGGAAAGGUCAGCCGAUACUGCGGGGCUAGAGUGCAGAAGGGGCAACUGGGAUUCUCGGUGUAGCGGUGAAAUGCGUAGAUAUCGAGAGGAACACCUGCGGCGAAGGCGGGUUGCUGGGCUGACACUGACGCUGAUGCGCGAAAGCUAGGGGAGCGAACGGG